GAUCCUGGCUACAGAACGAACGCUGGCGGCAUGCCUAACACAUGCAAGUCGAACGAUGCUUUCGGGCAUAGUGGCGCACGGGUGCGUAACGCGUGGGAAUCUGCCCCUUGGUUCGGAAUAACAGUUAGAAAUGACUGCUAAUACCGGAUGACGACGUAAGUCCAAAGAUUUAUCGCCGAGGGAUGAGCCCGCGUAGGAUUAGCUAGUUGGUGUGGUAAAGGCGCACCAAGGCGACGAUCCUUAGCUGGUCUGAGAGGAUGAUCAGCCACACUGGGACUGAGACACGGCCCAGACUCCUACGGGAGGCAGCAGUGGGGAAUAUUGGACAAUGGGCGCAAGCCUGAUCCAGCAAUGCCGCGUGAGUGAUGAAGGCCUUAGGGUUGUAAAGCUCUUUUACCCGUGAUGAUAAUGACAGUAGCGGGAGAAUAAGCCCCGGCUAACUCCGUG
rnacentral:rRNA from 1 species